rnacentral:rRNA from 1 species
UACGUAGGGUGCGAGCGUUAAUCGGAAUUACUGGGCGUAAAGCGUGCGUAGACGGUUACAUAAGUCGGGUGUGAAAGCCCCGGGCUCAACCUGGGAAUUGCAUUCGAGACUGCGUAGCUAGGGUGCGGAAGAGGGAAGCGGAAAUUUCCGGUGUAGCGGUGAAAUGCGUAGAUAUCGGAAGGAACACCAGUGGCGAAAGCGGCUUCCUGGUCCAGCACCGACGUUCAGGCACGAAAGCGUGGGGAGCAAACAGG